AAAGAGAUGAGGGCAAAAAGUUUAUCCAAACAGAUAAUAACAGAGAUCUUCCCAAACCUAAUGAAAAAUAUCAAUAUGCAAGUACAAGAAGGUUAU